ACAGAGGUAAAGGCAACUCGGAAAUGGCCUAUUCUUUUUCUUGUUAGCAGCUGUCAUUGUUACUGUUCUAGGGCCGGGAUUGUUUGUUCCAUUGGCCUCUCAAAGUGUAACAAGCCAGUCAUGUGAGACCUUACGAGAGCUGCUACCUGACCCGCCAAGCUCAAAGUUUGAAGUUCGAGGUCUGAGUUCGGAGAAUAUAAGCCAGAAAACCCUUAUCAGUCCGGAAUAUCCCAAUAAAUUAGGACAGUCAUGACGUCAUAAAGCUAUUGUUAGCAGGGAAAAUGGCGGACCUUUUAUGCGGACCAAGAAAAUAUGUUGUUUCCAGUCUCGCAUAGAGUCUGGUCAGCAUUAUCCAGGACUUUUUCCGACCAAACGUUGAGAAGGAGAAUAAGCGGCCAUUUUGGUAGUGGGAGAACGUUGAUUGUCUUCUAAUCAUUGAGUUUUGUUGGUGUCAAGCGACGAUGUAGACGCGAUUUUGUGGCCAAAUAUUAAGUACAUGGAAGAGCAUACUCGACUGCUCGAGGCACUUUGCCGAAUUUUUGGGG